UACGAAGGGGGCUAGCGUUGUUCGGAAUUACUGGGCGUAAAGCGCACGUAGGCGGAUCUUUAAGUCAGAGGUGAAAUCCCAAGGCUCAACCUUGGAACUGCCUUUGAUACUGGGGAUCUCGAGUCCGGGAGAGGUGAGUGGAACUGCGAGUGUAGAGGUGAAAUUCGUAGAUAUUCGCAAGAACACCAGUGGCGAAGGCGGCUCACUGGCCCGGAACUGACGCUGGAGGUGCGAAAGCGUGGGGAGCAAACAGG
rnacentral:rRNA from 1 species